CAUAGGUAGGCUCAUUGGAGAGCACAAUAUUCUAAAUGUUUGCUAACCUGAGUGAUCACUUUUAUUUUGUGGCAAAUUGAGGUGCUUUGAAAUGUACGCAAGGACUCACUUUUUCGAAAACCUGUAGAAUGCAUCAUUGCGAGAACAUCAGUUUUAGGAGCGGUCACUUUUCUCUUCGUACUGUUCCUAGAACAGAACAUUGCCAUGACGCAUGGAGUGCGUACUGCCGCAAGCCUUCACAUACACUGUCGUGCAUGAAAACUCGAGCACCUACUACAUGCGACUGUCGAUGCACCCUUUCUAGGCUUCAGUGAAGCAGAAGUGUUGCAUUAAGUAAUAUUGUACGCUCUGCACCUUAAAAUUGAGAUAAUAUCGCAAGAACCUUUGGUGUAUGAGCUCACUGCUACGUUUGCUUGAUGCAAUCACUGUCAACACAAUCGAAAUGACGAAGGAUAACGCAUCGCUCUAGAAGAAACCGCGACAUUUUCAAUGAAUAAAAGGCCUCUC